rnacentral:rRNA from 1 species
GAUGAACGCUGGCGGCGUGCCUAAUACAUGCAAGUCGAGCGAACAGACGAGGAGCUUGCUCCUCUGCCGUUAGCGGCGGACGGGUGAGUAACACGUGGAUAACCUACCUAUAAGACUGGGAUAACUUCGGGAAACCGGAGCUAAUACCGGAUAAUAUAUUGAACCGCAUGGUUCAAUAGUGAAAGAGGGUUUUGCUGUCACUUAUAGAUGGAUUCGCGCCGCAUUAGCUAGUUGGUCAGGUAACGGCUUACCAAGGCAACGAUGCGUAGCCGACCUGAGAGGGUGAUCGGCCACACUGGAACUGAGACACGGUCCAGACUCCUACGGGAGGCAGCAGUAGGGAAUCUUCCGCAAUGGGCGAAAGCUUGACGGAGCAACGCGGCGUGAGUGAUGAAGUUCUUCGGAUCUUAAAACUCUGUUAUUAGGGAAGAACAAAUGUGUAAGUAACUAUGCACGUCUUGACGGUACCUAAUCAGAAAGCCACGGCUAACUACGUG